GAUCAUAACUCAGGAUGAACGCUAGCGGCAGGCUUAACACAUGCAAGUCGAGGGGCAGCAUAAUGGAUAGCAAUAUCUAUGGUGGCGACCGGCGCACGGGUGCGUAACGCGUAUGCAACCUACCUUUAACAGGGGGAUAACACUGAGAAAUUGGUACUAAUACCCCAUAAUAUCAUAGAAGGCAUCUUUUAUGGUUGAAAAUUCCGAUGGUUAGAGAUGGGCAUGCGUUGUAUUAG
rnacentral:rRNA from 1 species